rnacentral:rRNA from 1 species
CGCCGCGGUAAUACGGAGGUGGCUAGCGUUACUCGGUAUGACUGGGUGUAAAGGGUCCGUAGGCGGCCAUAUGUGUGGUAGGUGAAAGCUUUCGGCUCAACCGAAAAAUUGCCUAUCAAACUGUAUGGCUUGAGGAUGGAAGAGGAGAGCGGAACUGCCGGUGUAAGGGUGAAAUCUGUGGAUAUCGGCAGGAACGCCAGCGGAGAAGUCGGCUCUCUGGUCCAUUCCUGACGCUCAGGGACGAAAGCUAGGGGAGCGAACAGGAUUAGAUACCCUGGUAGUCCUAGCUGUAAACGAUGGGCACUAGAUGCUUGUCCUUUUGGAUGGGUGUCGUAGCUAACGCGUUAAGUGCCCCACCUGGGGACUACGGUCGCAAGACUAAAACUCAAAGGAAUUGACGGGGGCCUGCACAAGCGGUGGAACACGUGGUUUAAUUCGAUGCUACGCGAGGAACCUUACCAGGGCUUGACAUGCUGGAAGUAGCCACCCCGAAAGGAUUGGCCCCCUGUAACCAAUCAGGAACCAGUGCAGGUGCUGCAUGGCUGUCGUCAACUCGUGCCGUGAGGUGUUCCCUUUAGUGGGAAAAAGAGC